GUUCCAUAUAUACAGGUAAAUCUUCCCUGUUAAGAAUUAUUUUGGAUGAGAAUUUUCUAUUUUUGAGGAGAAGAAUAUUCACCUAUUUGGAAAGAAGAUAUGGAUAAACAGAAAAACCCUAGUUUUAUCUCAAAAUCACAGAAAAUCAGAGAAAAAAAAGCAAAAGAACCAUUUCGAUUUUGGUUAAUCUUCAAUUUUUUGGCGCCAUGUAAAUCAAAAGGGAAAAAAGCUGGGCGGGAUAUCUUUUUCUCUCCUAUAAAUACCCCCAUAGUUAUCAAGUUUUUCUCACAGGAUAUUGAUUGAAGGCUGAUUCUACCCCUUGGUUAUCCUAACUUCAAGGAUUUUAAGAACUCUAACUUAAGGUGGAAAAUGGCUAACAAAAAUGAACAACCAGCUCCAGCAACUUCAUCUUCUGAGGGUAUGACUAUUUAUUGUGUGUUGGUUUGCGCCCAUGGUUGGUUAUGCGAAAGUGAAAAUUAAUUGUUUUGUAAGUACUGGUAUAUCAUGAACAAGUUUACUUAUAUCAUGCAUUAAACUCUAAAAGUAUAUAUGUAGUUGAUGUUAAUUAGGUGAGAUUAGACCAAUUAAACCUAGAUAAGUUUCAAUAUGUGCCGUGCAAGCUAGUGCCAGUCUGUUCCCCUGGUAUCUAUGUAUUGUUCUUGAUAACAUGAAUCUGUAGUACGCAUCCCAGGAAAAAGAAAAAAAAAGCACAAAAUGAUCAGCAGUCACAAGUGACCAUGCGUAGUUUAGAGUUAAUGUAAUAUUUCUCUUUUCUGGCAUUAGGGCUGUUUGACAACCAUUAAUAUUGACCCUAAGGCAUGUACUUUAUAUCGGUUUGUUCCCCUGGUAUCAUUUUGCUUCUCACCACCCUUCUGAUUAUUUAUUAGUCGCUAUCGUUUCAGUAAUUCCUUGCUUGUUUGAUAUUUAUUUAACUGAGUUAGUUUACAUGAAUAUCGAUGAUCUGCAUUGGAAAUUAGUCUCUUAAAAUCCAUUGUUAUCUGAGACUCUUCCUUCCAAAUCUUGUGAACUCUAGUCUAGUGAUUGGUGGGCACACUUCGAUACUUUGUUGUUUCUUGGACUAAAAUUAUUUUGUCUUAUAGUAUACUGGAUUCCGUUAAACCAAUUGUAUCAUCUA